GUCUACGGCCGUGUCACCCUGAACAAGACCGAUCCUGUCUGAUCUAGGAAGCUAAGCGGGGUCGGGCCUGGUUAGUACUUGGAUGGGAGACCACCUAGGAAGACCAGGUGCUGUAGGUG
rfam:Pteropus alecto contig80383, whole genome shotgun sequence.